UCCCGAGUGGUCUAGUGGUUAGGAUUCGCGGCUCUCACCCGCGCGGCCCGGGUUCGAUUCCCGGCUCGGGAG
rnacentral:tRNA from 1 species